AAUGUCAAUCGUUGCAUUAGAGAGCGCCUUUAGUCAGGGACGACAGCAGCUUGGAGACAACCGACACUCAUUGAGAAGCAAUGCAAUGAAUGUUCUAGUUUUCCUCAGAGAUUGGAUUAGAGCGGAAAGAAGAAACCAAGGAAUGGAACCGGAGCCGAACGACGAGCUGAAACUUGAAGAAAUUAUGUCUUCGCGGGAGAACUCAGCC
rnacentral:lncRNA from 1 species